AGCUCUAUAAUAAACUAAACUAUUACUGACCAGGAGCUCUAUAAGAAACUAAACUAUUACUGACCAGGAGCUCUAUAAGAAACUAAACUAUUACUGACCAGGAGCUCUAUAAGAAACUAAACUAUUACUGACCAGGAGCUCAAUAAGAAACUUCAGGCUCUCAAAUUUAAAAAAGCAUGCGAACCUGAUGGCAUCCUAAAUGAGAUGCUCAAACUCACUGGGUGCAGCAUCUCAAUUGGCUAUAUUAAAACUGUUUAAUUUGAUCCUGAGUGUAGGUUAUUUCCCUGACAUCUGGAACCAAGCACUUAUAUAACCCCAAUCUUUAAGAACGGAGACAAAAUUGACCCUAACAAUUACAGAGGCAUUUGUGUGAACAGUAACCCGGGGAAGGUUUUCUGUAGUAUUAUAAACGUGAGAGUUCUAAACUUCCUUAAUAAGCACAAUGUCUUGAGUAAAAGGCUAAUUGGAUUUAUACCAAAACAUCGCACAAGCGAUCAUAUUUACACCUUACACACCCUCCCUGAUAGAUAAACAUGUCCACCAAAAUAAUACCAAAAUAUACACUUGCUUUAUCGACAUCCAAAAAGCAUUUGAUUCUAUUUGGCAUACAGGACUGUUCUACAAAGUUAUUGAAAGUGGGGGUAAAACAUAUGUCAUAAUUAAAUCAAUGUAUACUGGAAAUACGUGCAGCAUUAAAAUUGGCAAGAAAAUAACAGAAUUCCUUAACCAGGGGCAGGGCCUUCGCCAGGGUUGCAAUCUGAGUCCUGCGCUCUUCAAUAUUUACAUUAACGAAUUGACCCCUAUUCCAGAACAAUCCUCAGCCCCUGGUGUUAGUCUCCACAAUUCAGAGUUUAAAUGUCUGCUCUUCGCAGAUGACCUAUGCUUGCUGUCACCCACAGCACAUGGCCUACAGCAGAGCCUGCACCUGCUAGAGCAGUAAUGCCAGACCUGGGCCCUGGCAGUAAAACCCAAAGAUACUAAAAUACUGGUUUUCCAGAGAAGAUCCAGAUCUCAGGGAAUUAGACCAAAGUUCUCAAUUGGUACAAAAUAUAUAGAGUACUGCACACACUACAAUUACUGAGGUUUAAAUAUAUAGAGUAGUGUACAUACUACAAUUACUGAGGUUUAAAUAUAUAGAGUACUGCACACACUACAAUUACUGAGGUUUAAAUAUAUAGAGUACUGCACACUACAAUUACUGAGGUUUAAAUAUAUAGAGUACUAUACACACUACAAUUACUGAGGUUUAAAUAUAUAGAGUACUGUACACACUACAAUUACUGAGGUUUAAAUAUAUAGAGUACUGUACACACUACAAUUACUGAGGUUUAAAUAUAUAGAGUACUGUACACACUACAAUUACUGAGGUUUAAAUAUAUAGAGUACUAUACACACUACAAUUACUGAGGUUUAAAUAUAUAGAGUACUGUACACACUACAAUUACUGAGGUUUAAAAAUAACCUCAACUGGACACCUUAAUGAGGCAGUGAAUGAACUGAGAGAGAAAGCAGGGCAUUCUACGCCAAUAACAACAAAUUAAUAUUGAAAUACCGAUUUAAAUUUGGCUAAAACUAAUUGAAUAUGUCAUUGAACCAAUUGCACUUUAUGGCAGUGAGGUGUGGGGUCCACUUUAUGGCAGUGAGGUGUGGGGUCCACUUCAUGGCAGCGAGGUGUGAGGUCCACUUUAUGGCAGUGAGGUGUGGGGUCCACUUUAUGGCAGCGAGGUGUGAGGUCCACUUUAUGGCAGUGAGGUGUGGGGUCCACUUUAUGGCAGCGAGGUGUGAGGUCCACUUUAUGGCAGUGAGGUGUGGGGUCCACUUUAUGGCAGCGAGGUGUGAGGUCCACUUUAUGGCAGUGAGGUGUGGGGUCCACUUUAUGGCAGCGAGGUGUGAGGUCCACUUUAUGGCAGUGAGGUGUGGGGUCCACUUUAUGGCAGCGAGGUGUGGGGUCCACUUUAUGGCAGCGAGGUGUGGAGUCCACUUUAUGGCAGCGAGGUGUGGGGUCCACUUUAUGGCAGCGAGGUGUGGGGUCCACUUUAUGGCAGCGAGGUGUGGGGUCCACUUUAUGGCAGUGAGGUGUGGGGUCCACUUUAUGGCAGCGAGGUGUGGGGUCCACUUUAUGGCAGUGAGGUGUGAGGUCCACUUUAUGGCAGCGAGGUGUGAGGUCCACUUUAUGGCAGCGAGGUGUGAGGUCCACUUUAUGGCAGCGAGGUGUGGGGUCCACUUUAUGGCAGCGAGGUGUGAGGUCCACUUUAUGGCAGCGAGGUGUGG